UAUUAAGCCUUAAGAGUGUUCUAUUCUACUAUGACAAAGGAGUGUUGACAAUCAUAAAGCUAGCUAUUAAGAGUGUUCUAUUUAACCUUUACAACUGUUCUAUUAUGGCAUAAAACUGUUAUAAAGCCUAAAACUGACAGCACACUUCCAUUAAGCUUUAAGAAUGUUUUAUUAAGUCAUAAGAGGUUAAGAUUGGAAUGCAUACAUGUUCGCAACUGCAAAUCUGAUAAAAGUAUUCUAUUAUGCUCUAAGAGUGUUCUAUUCUACUAUGACAAAAGCGGGUAAGAUUGAAGUCUUAAAACCAUGAUAUAGCAACAUAAUUGGAAGUUCAGAAGAUCUCCCAGAUUUCUCAAUUAAUCAGUAAUGUUGAUCUCCAAAGUAUAGAUUUUUGAACUCCCAUACAUCUCAAUUAAUCAGUCAAUUGAUCUCCGAAGUAUAGAAACAUGAAAAACUCAAAAAUGCACGUGUACGUGAAUUCAAUUCAAAGAGAAACAAUCCACAAUGCUCAUAUUCUUUCUUCUUCUUCUUUUUUUCUUUGCUAAGUUUUGUACAUCCCAAACUGUCAUUCCAAAUGUAUACCACAUAAAUUGGAAACUACCGAUAAAUAUAAAAAAUUUAAGAACGAUAUCUACAAAUCAAGGUUUCAGUAUUCUAUUAUGCUCUAAGAGUGUUCUAUUCUACCCAUACACCCCAUAUUGAGUUGUUCUAUUAUGCUUUACAUUUAUUCUAUUAUGCCAUAAAUCUGUUAUAAAGUCUACAACUGAUAGCAGUGUUAUGUGAAACUUUAAGAAUGUUCUGUUAAGUCAUAAGUGGGUAAGAUUACAAAUGCAUACAUGUUCGCAACUAUAAACCUGAUAAAAAUAUUCUAUUAAGUCCUAGAAGUGUUCUAUUAUGACAAAAGCGUGUUCACAACCAUAAAGCUAAUAAUAGUGUUCUAUUAAGCUGUAAGAGUGUUCUUUAUUGCCAUAAGAGUGUUAGAUUGUCAAGCAUUUAUAUUUGCAAACACAAAUCCUAUAAAAGUAUUCUACUAAGAGUGUUCUUAUAAGUUCUAAGACUAAACCCUUUAUGGCAUAAAAGUGACAGAUUGUAAUGCAUACAUAAUUCUAGCCAACAAUACAUAUAUGAAUACAAACAAAUUAAUUUUCAAUACAAGUAUACACUAAUAUCAUAAAUGCUUUAUUUUUACAAAUGCAACAAAUAAUGUAAUAUACCAGCUGAGUAAUCCCUAAAUAAAAUGAAUCAGCUAGUCGGUGAGCAAAUCCGCAGCACGCAAAGAAGAACCCUACCUGCAACCCUAAACCCUCAAAAUAUAAAUUCUAUAUUAAAUUUAAAAUUAGAAAUAAAAGAUUAUAGAAAUUCAAAAAUAUCCCCUGUUUGAGUAGAAUCCUCUGUUCGGUUGUGGCCGAAUUAGCUCCGGAAUCGUUCCCAAUUUCGGAUGCUCACGACUGAAGGAAUGCGUCACAGGUACUGGGAUGGACAGGGGAGCAGUUGAGAGGCGACCUCCUACCAAUGGAGAAAGGCGAGGCCGAGAGACACCUUCGAGACGGCUUCGGACACGAGAUGUGUGGAACGAGCGCUGCCGAACUUCUGCCCGAUGGAGUGGAGUACCCUGCGAGCGAGAGCGAGAGAAAGAGAAAGGGGAGAGAGCGAGAUGACGAGAGGCGAGGGAGCGAGAGAAAGCGAGGAAGCGAGAGAGAGCGAGAAACAGAAAUAGCGAGAGGAGCUGUGCGGGAGAGAGAAGUGUAGUAGGGUUUAAUUUAAGUUAGCUUUAGCAAGAAGUAAAAAAGGUGUGAGGUUAGAAGCUACUGUGCUAGUGGGUUAAUAUCAGCCAUUGGAUCUGAUAGUUGUAGGAUAUACACCUUUUUAUAGGAGUACAGGUAAACUUUUCCUAUGCUUUAAUAGCAUCUACGAAUUUCUUGUAAACACCCUUCUCUUUAUCAAAAUGACUCUGCAUGCCCAAAAAUAAAUAAAUAUUAAAUAAAUAAAAAUAAAAAUAAANUGCAUACAUAAUUCUAGCCAACAAUACAUAUAUGAAUACAAACAAAUUAAUUUUCAAUACAAGUAUACACUAAUAUCAUAAAUGCUUUAUUUUUACAAAUGCAACAAAUAAUGUAAUAUACCAGCUGAGUAAUCCCUAAAUAAAAUGAAUCAGCUAGUCGGUGAGCAAAUCCGCAGCACGCAAAGAAGAACCCUACCUGCAACCCUAAACCCUCAAAAUAUAAAUUCUAUAUUAAAUUUAAAAUUAGAAAUAAAAGAUUAUAGAAAUUCAAAAAUAUCCCCUGUUUGAGUAGAAUCCU
rnacentral:lncRNA from 1 species